UUGAAUUGAAAACUUAAAUUGUGAGCUUUCCAGAGCAGAAUGUAUCAACUUCAGUAAAAAAUAGUUCAGGUAUGCGGGGUAACCAGAGCAGAAUACAGUAGUUACAUCUGUGUGUUGGUUUGUAUGUGACUGGAUUUUGCUGGCUAAGAAACAAAGAAACAGGUGUGACCUAGCACAGUGAUGGUGAACCUGUUAGAGACUGAGUGCCCAAACUGAAACCCAAAACCCACUUAUUUGUUGCAAAGUGCCAACACAGCAAUUUAACCUGUAUAUCUCAUUUUUUGUGUGUGUUUCGCGUUUCUUCGUUAUGACUGCAGUUCUAAUAAAUAAUCCUUCAUAAAAA